GAAGUAGCUCAGUUGGUAGAGCACCGGUCUCCAAAACCGGGUGUCGAGAGUUCGAACCUUUCCUUC
rnacentral:tRNA from 1 species